UGGGUACGGGCAGACUAGAGUGUGGUAGGGGAGACUGGAAUUCCUGGUGUAGCGGUGGAAUGCGCAGAUAUCAGGAGGAACACCGAUGGCGAAGGCAGGUCUCUGGGCCAUUACUGACACUGAGAAGCGAAAGCAUGGGGAGCGAACAGGAUUAGAUACCCUGGUAGUCCAUGCCGUAAACGUUGGGAACUAGGUGUGGGUCUCAUUCCACGAGAUCCGUGCCGCAGCUAACGCAUUAAGUUCCCCGCCUGGGGAGUACGGCCGCAAGGCUAAAACUCAAAGGAAUUGACGGGGGCCCGCACAAGCGGCGGAGCAUGCGGAUUAAUUCGAUGCAACGCGAAGAACCUUACCAAGGCUUGACAUACACCGGAAUCACUCAGAGAUGGGUGCGUCUUCGGACUGGUGUACAGGUGGUGCAUGGUUGUCGUCAGCUCGUGUCGUGAGAUGUUGGGUUAAGUCCCGCAACGAGCGCAACCCUCGUUCUAUGUUGCCAGCACGUGAUGGUGGGGACUCAUAGGAGACUGCCGGGGUCAACUCGGAGGAAGGUGGGGAUGACGUCAAAUCAUCAUGCCCCUUAUGUCUUGGGCUUCACGCAUGCUACAAUGGCCGGUACAAAGGGCUGCGAUACCGCGAGGUGGAGCGAAUCCCAAAAAACCGGUCUCAGUUCGGAUUGGGGUCUGCAACUCGACCCCAUGAAGUCGGAGUCGCUAGUAAUCGCAGAUCAGCAACGCUGCGGUGAAUACGUUCCCGGGCCUUGUACACACCGCCCGUCAAGUCACGAAAGUCGGUAACACCCGAAGCCGGUGGCCCAACCCUUGUGGGGGGAGCCGUCGAAG
rnacentral:rRNA from 1 species